GCAUGGCGUCAAAAAUCAUGAAAAAAAAGUCAUAGUAUAAUAUGGCGUCAAAAAUCAUGAAAAAAAGUCAUAGUAUAGUAUGGCGUCAAAAACGGUCAAAAAAUUUCAUAGUAUAGCAUGGCGUCAAAAAUCAUGAAAAAAAGUCAUAGUAUACUGUGUGGUCACUGUCAGAAAAUGUCGUAGUGUCUCUCAAACUUUGUUUUUCUUUUUUAUUUAUAUGUGUAAUGAAGUUUCAGGAUUUGAACCUUUGGACAAUUUCUGAUGACCAUGUGUUUCUGCAGGUGGACGAGAGAACCACAUUACCUGAAAAGGACAACAGAAGUAGUUAAAUGUUCUUAAAAAUGUUUAUAGAUGUGUAAGACUUAAUCAUAUUUUCAUGUAUGUUCAUCACUACAUGAAAUGUGUGAAACGUGUCAUUGUCUUUGAUUUGUUUAAUGUUGUCUAGAACAGAAUCAAUAAAGUUUUGUAUCUUC